rnacentral:rRNA from 1 species
AUUGAACGCUGGCGGAAUGCUUUACACAUGCAAGUCGAACGGUAGAGGGGGCAACCCCUCGAGAGUGGCGGACGGGUGAGUAAUAUAUCGGAACGUGCCCAGUCGUGGGGGAUAACGUAGCGAAAGUUACGCUAAUACCGCAUACGAUCUCAGGAUGAAAGCGGGGGAGCGCAAGACCACGCGCGAUUGGAGCGGCCGAUAUCAGAUUAGGUAGUCGGUGGGGUAAAGGCUCACCAAGCCAACGAUCUGUAGCUGGUCUGAGAGGACGACCAGCCACACUGGAACUGAGACACGGUCCAGACUCCUACGGGAGGCAGCAGUGGGGAAUUUUGGACAAUGGACGCAAGUCUGAUCCAGCCAUUCCGCGUGCAGGAUGAAGGCCCUCGGGUUGUAAACUGCUUUUGUACGGAACGAAAAGGUCUCUCCUAAUACGGGGGGCUCAUGACGGUACCGUAAGAAUAAGCACCGGCUAACUACGUGCCAGCCGCCGCCGUAA